rnacentral:rRNA from 1 species
UGGGGAAUAUUGGACAAUGGGGGCAACCCUGAUCCAGCCAUGCCGCGUGAGUGAUGAAGGCCUUAGGGUUGUAAAGCUCUUUCACCGGGGAAGAUAAUGACGGUACCCGGAGAAGAAGCCCCGGCUAACUUCGUGCCAGCAGCCGCGGUAAUACGAAGGGGGCUAGCGUUGUUCGGAAUUACUGGGCGUAAAGCGCACGUAGGCGGACAUUUAAGUCAGGGGUGAAAUCCCGGGGCUCAACCUCGGAACUGCCUUUGAUACUGGGUGUCUUGAGUAUGGAAGAGGUAAGUGGAAUUGCGAGUGUAGAGGUGAAAUUCGUAGAUAUUCGCAGGAACACCAGUGGCGAAGGCGGCUUACUGGUCCAUUACUGACGCUGAGGUGCGAAAGCGUGGGGAGCAAACAGG